AGCAGCCGCGGUAAUUCCAGCUCCAAUAGCGUAUAUUAAAGUUGUUGCAGUUAAAAAGCUCGUAGUUGAAUUUCGGGAUUGGCGCAUCGGUCGUGCCUCACGGGGUAUGAACUGGUGCAGUCAAUUUCUCACCUUCUGGAGAACCGCGAUGUCCUUAAUUGGAUGCCGCGGGGAACCAGGACCUUUACUUUGAAAAAUUAGAGUGUUUAAAGCAGGCAUUUUUGCUUGAAUACAUUAGCAUGGAAUAAUAAAAUAGGACGGCAUGGUUCUAUUUUGUUGGUUUCUAGGGCCACCGUAAUGAUUAAUAGGGAUAGUUGGGGGCAUUAGUAUUCAAUUGUCAGAGGUGAAAUUCUUGGAUUUAUUGAAGACUAACUACUGCGAAAGCAUUUGCCAAGGAUGUUUUCAUUAAUCAAGAACGAAAGUUAGGGGAUCGAAGACGAUCAGAUACCGUCGUAGUCUUAACCAUAAACUAUGCCGACUAGGAAUCAGACGAUGUUAAUUUUUAAUGACUCGUUUGGCU
rnacentral:misc_RNA from 1 species